GGAUGGGUGAGGAGCAUGGGAUUAAGUAGGGACCUCUGUCCUAGUAUUAUUUUCUCUGUUGAAUUCAUCCUACCAGUUGCUGAGCUCUUUAUUUGCACACAUCAGCCUUUUAGGAAGGAUCUCCAGGAAUCCUGUGGGGAGAGGCUGGUGCUGGGGGAAGACAGAGGAAUGCCUGGAGAGGACAGAAGUGAGCAUAGGGCUUCUCCUAUUUUAUCUUGGCUGUUCUAAGAAUGUCUGGAAUGGGGCCGGGCGCGGUGGCUUACGCCUGUAAUCCCAGCACUUUGGGAGGCCGAGACUACACCUGUUGGUCUGGAUUGCAGCUGGAAUUGGAAGGGAAAUGCAUUUCCAUUGAAGGAAGAAGUGUAACAGUGAGCAGGCAGGUGUCAGCGGAUCUCAAGAGAAUAAUGUCAACUGGACAAUGGCUUAGAGGCAGGAGGAGGCAGAUCAGCUAGGCAGAUGUGCAGAAGUUAAGUGUGGUUUCAUGCAGAAACUUCCAAAUGGAUUCAAGAGCCAAAGCCUUCAAGAAGUUGGUGUCAUUGUCACUUGGAAUAUGUUUG
rnacentral:lncRNA from 1 species